rnacentral:rRNA from 1 species
CCUACUGGCGGCAGCAGUGGGGAAUAUUGGACAAUGGGGGCAACCCUGAUCCAGCCAUGCCGCGUGUGUGAAGAAGGCCCUCGGGUUGUAAAGCACUUUCAGUGAGGAAGAACGCCUGGUGGUUAAUACCCAUCAGGAAAGACAUCACUCACAGAAGAAGCACCGGCUAACUCCGUGCCAGCAGCCGCGGUAAUACGGAGGGUGCGAGCGUUAAUCGGAAUUACUGGGCGUAAAGCGCGCGUAGGUGGCUUGAUAAGCCGGUUGUGAAAGCCCCGGGCUCAACCUGGGAACGGCAUCCGGAACUGUCAAGCUAGAGUGCAGGAGAGGAAGGUAGAAUUCCCGGUGUAGCGGUGAAAUGCGUAGAGAUCGGGAGGAAUACCAGUGGCGAAGGCGGCCUUCUGGACUGACACUGACACUGAGGUGCGAAAGCGUGGGUAGCAAACAGGAUUAGAUACCCGAGUAGUC